rnacentral:rRNA from 1 species
UAGAGUUUGAUCCUGGCUCAGGAUGAACGCUGGCGGCGUGCCUAAUACAUGCAAGUCGAGCGAAUGGAUUAAGAGCUUGCUCUUAUGAAGUUAGCGGCGGACGGGUGAGUAACACGUGGGUAACCUGCCCAUAAGACUGGGAUAACUCCGGGAAACCGGGGCUAAUACCGGAUAACAUUUUGAACUGCAUGGUUCGAAAUUGAAAGGCGGCUUCGGCUGUCACUUAUGGAUGGAUCCGCGUCGCAUUAGCUAGUUGGUGAGGUAACGGCUCACCAAGGCAACGAUGCGUAGCCGACCUGAGAGGGUGAUCGGCCACACUGGGACUGAGACACGGCCCAGACUCCUACGGGAGGCAGCAGUAGGGAAUCUUCCGCAAUGGACGAAAGUCUGACGGAGCAACGCCGCGUGAGUGAUGAAGGCUUUCGGGUCGUAAAACUCUGUUGUUAGGGAAGAACAAGUGCUAGUUGAAUAAGCUGGCACCUUGACGGUACCUAACCAGAAAGCCACGGCUAACUACGUGUCAGCAGCCGCGGUAAUACGUAGGUGGCAAGCGUUAUCCGGAAUUAUUGGGCGUAAAGCGCGCGCAGGUGGUUUCUUAAGUCUGAUGUGAAAGCCCACGGCUCAACCGUGGAGGGUCAUUGGAAACUGGGAGACUUGAGUGCAGAAGAGGAAAGUGGAAUUCCAUGUGUAGCGGUGAAAUGCGUAGAGAUAUAGAGGAACACCAGUGGCGAAGGCGACUUUCUGGUCUGUAACUGACACUGAGGCGCGAAAGCGUGGGGAGCAAACAGGAUUAGAUACCCUGUAGUCCACGCCGUAAACGAUGAGUGCUAAGUGUUAGAGGGUUUCCGCCCUUUAGUGCUGAAGUUAACGCAUUAAGCACUCCGCCUGGGGAGACGGCCGCAAGGCUGAACUCAAAGGAAUUGACGGGGGCCCGCACAAGCGUGAAGCAUGUGUUAAUUCGAAGCAACGCGAAGAACCUUACCAGGUCUUGACAAUCCUCUGAAAACCCUAGAGAUAGGGCUUCUCCUUCGGGAGCAGAGUGACAGGUGGUGCAUGGUUGUCGUCAGCUCGUGUCGUGAGAUGUUGGGUUAAGUCCCGCAACGAGCGCAACCCUUGAUCUUAGUUGCCAUCAUUAAGUUGGGCACUCUAAGGUGACUGCCGGUGACAAACCGGAGGAAGGUGGGGAUGACGUCAAAUCAUCAUGCCCCUUAUGACCUGGGCUACACACGUGCUACAAUGGACGGUACAAAGAGCUGCAAGACCGCGAGGUGGAGCUAAUCUCAUAAAACCGUUCUCAGUUCGGAUUGUAGGCUGCAACUCGCCUACAUGAAGCUGGAAUCGCUAGUAAUCGCGGAUCAGCAUGCCGCGGUGAAUACGUUCCCGGGCCUUGUACACACCGCCCGUCACACCACGAGAGUUUGUAACACCCGAAGUCGGUGGGGUAACCUUUUUGGAGCCAGCCGCCUAAGGUGGGACAGAUGAUUGGGGUGAAGUCGUAACAAGGUAGCCGUA